GUUUACAAAGUAAUUAAAUUUAUGGCAACACAUAUAAGUUUUAUGCGUGGAUGUGGCUCGGAACGGCACGGUUCGGAACGAAUCCUCUUGUAAUUGGACGGAACAAAAUUUCCAUUCAUUAAAAUGCUUUUGUGCAAAAAAAAAUAAAAUGUUGGCGUCGCUUCGCGUGCCUUUCGACCGAUUUACAUGAAAACAAAUGAGAAUAAGCAAAACAAAGGCGAAAGACCCCAAAAAUAAUGAGAAAAUUUGUUUUUGGGUUUUCCGUGCGGUGGAUCAGCGGAUUUUAAAGGUGUUUAGGGUUAAUCAACUGCAAGUUAAGAAUGGAAUUUUCUAAGUAGAGACAUACAGUAAUGAGAAUUAAAUGAGCAAGCUAAGUGUAUGACAAAUGAAAUAUAAGUGUUUAGGCUAAUAUAAAUGUUAAAGUUCUGUAAAUUAAAUGUUAAUAUCAACAAAGAAAGUAAACAAGAAUCUAUUUGCUUAUAUAGAUUGAUUGAUAAGAAUAUUCAUGUAAAAGAGAAAAGGGAAUAGUAAAAUUCUUCAUGUAGUGGUUUUCCAAUCAAAUAGUAAUAUUAAAUAAUGUUUUUGUUUAAUUUAAUGUAAAUGCUAAGGUAAAUUUCAAGUUUAAUUUCUUUUUAUAUGUUUAUUUUUAGCCAUUUAACGAAUAUCAUAUACAACGAAUUAGUACUCAUGGUAAACUCGUUGUUAAACGGAAUGUAAAUGUUAUCGUUCAAGUUGUUUUCCCUGUAAAAUCGCAAGCCUCAUUUAUCAGUUUCCAUUGAAUAACUAGACCUCACUAUUGAUAGCUUAUCAAAAAGACAUUCGAGUAGUUAAGAAACCCUUUCAAUUAAAAGUUAAGUUAAUGUAAAGUGUACUGACGAUGUCCUUAUCUUAUGGCGUUCAUAUAUAUGUAUAACGUUUAUUUUUAUCAAUUAAGUAAUCCAUAUUAGAAGAGAUAUGUAUUCGUGGGCUACCACCGAAUUGCUUUUGUCUUUGAAGGCCGACGAUUUGAAGUAUCAUUGCAAUUGACCGGAAAUCUCGGUGUCUGUCUUGUCAAAAAAGGCCGAAAACGAAAAAUGAUUAUAAAUAAAUAAAUAAAUGCGAAGCAAAGAAAAUCUUUGCACACAACAAAGAUGAGGGGGGGAAUAACAAUAUACCCUCCCCGAGAGGCCGUAUAUAUAAGACAUCCAAUUCUGAAACAGAAAACAUACGGAUCGGUCGAUGGCGAUGCGUAGAAAAACUAGAAUGAAUAUUACUAGAUAACUCUGCUCUUCAACAUGAAAACAACUUUCACUUUGAGAGCAAAAAUACGUUGAGGAAAAUUGUACAAGUAUAAACGAAAUAUUAUAAAUCAAAUGUAGAGACAUGAAAUGAAAUGGAAAAAACACGCAAAAAUGGAACGAGAAUAAUUUAAUUUUUUUUGUGGUUGUUUUUGUUGCUAUAGUCUCUUCUAUUUUCAAUCUUGUGUUUUCUUUGCUUGUCUUUUUUCGUUUUUUCGUUCUAUUUUUUUCUGAAUUUUUGUUGUUGCUUUUGAGCGGGUGCUGCUUGCCAAUAAUUUGAAGAGGCGUUUUGCGGAAUUUUCUGCAGACGUCAGGCCUUGACUGACGUCAUUAGCGCGAAUUUCAAAUUGGAAAAAGAAGACAGGAGAAACGUGGCUCCAAUCGGCUGUCCUGCUUCUGCUCGAAACAUUACUUGGCCGCGAUAUUGCAGACAUUAAUACGGGAUAUUUAUUUAUUUAUUUAUGAAUACUUUUUUGUUGUUGUCUUGAAAUUUUCAAUUUGUAUUUUAUUUUAUUUUUGUAUUUUUUCUAUCUCGGUUCCUUGGCUCCUCGUAAAUGUGCAAAUAAUCAAAGCGGAGUCAAAGGCAACGGCAACAACAUCAAUUUGGGCUAUAUUUAGACGCUGUUCAUUUGGGCGUGAAAAAAAUUAAUAAAUGACAAUCAGCAAGGGCGAAGGCAGAGGGGGAUUCUGACAGGUGUGGCUGCCGCUUAUCGCCGCGAGCCUGGGAAACGCUUUUCGUACCGUGCUUGGCGACAAUUUAAACCAUACAUACCGACAGUGAUAAGCCAAGUGGAGCUUAUGGAGCCAGGCCAACUACAAAUAUUGCGCACAUACAUCACACAAUGAACUAAAUAUAAUAAGUACGUACGUAUGCAUGUACAUAUGUAUGUAUAUAUGUGGUUUAAAAACCCACGUAUGUAUAUAGAAAAAUUUGCAGGGAAAUUCCCGCAAUAAUAACAACAAAGCAUCAAGCGCAAGAGUAGAUACAGCAACAACGACGACGACGACGUAUGCAUAUAAACAAAGACGUAAAAUGGAAGAAAGAAAAAAAAAACACUAACAACUCUCUGCUUGCUCUUAAAAUGUAACAACAAAGGCAAAAUCAAACAAAAUAAAAGCUUACACCAGAAAUAACUGAGACUUGGCAGAAAAAUACGAUGAGUGCAACUGCAGGGAUAUACCGA